CGGACCGUGAUAUUCAAGAUGAAAGCCACGUCGAAGUCCUGCGCACCAACUUGACUAAUUCAUUCAAUUCAAGAAAUACAAAUGAAUGCAGCAGCUUUUUACGCAAAGCUAGCACACCGGGCCAAACCACCUCCUGUUGAGAGUGCUCUCAGUGAGAGUGAGGGCAGCGAUGAGGAGUACAAUCCUAAUAAAGCAAGUGAAGGUGAUGAAAGCAGCAGCAAUGACUCUACAGUGGACAUUAGCAGCAGUGAGGAAGAUGAUGAUGAUCCGCCUCAUCCACCUCCAACCACCUGCUGCACCUGCAAGAUCUGCAAGAGCUACAUCAAGGGCAGAUCGAGCCUAAACCAAUAU